GAAAAGAUAAGCUAAACACACCAAAGCUAUCGGGCUCAUAACCCGACAAUGGAAUAUAAAUCCUCUUUUUA
rnacentral:tRNA from 1 species